AAUGAACGUUGGCGGCGUGGAUUAGGCAUGCAAGUCGAGCGCGAAACGUAGCAAUACGUGGAAAGCGGCGAAAGGGAGAGUAAUACAUAGGUACGUACCCUUGGACCUGGGAUAGCGGCGGGAAACUGCCGGUAAUACCAGAUAAUGUCUCCGGACCAAAGGUGUGAUUCCGUCUGAGGAGCGGCCUAUGUCCUAUUAGCUAGUUGGUAAGGUAACGGCUUACCAAGGCAAAGAUGGGUAUGGGGUGUGAGAGCAUGCCCCCACUCACCGGGACUGAGACACUGCCCAGACACCUACGGGUGGCUGCAGUCGAGAAUCUUCGGCAAUGGACGCAAGUCUGACCGAGCGACGCCGCGUGCGGGAUGAAGGCCUUCGGGUUGUAAACCGCUGUCGUAGGGGAGGAAAUGCAGGUGGGUACUCCCAUCUGCUUGACUGAUCCUAGGAGGAAGGACCGGCUAAUCUCGUGCCAGCAGCCGCAGUAACAC
rnacentral:rRNA from 1 species